UUUCCCAAAAGGCCUCGUACCGAUGAAGAUAUAUUCCUUACUUAUAAACCCAUGAUCAUCCUCUUAAUUAGCCAAUAUGAGACUUCCUCCCAACAAUCGUCAA